UACGUAGGUGGCGAGCGUUAUCCGGAAUUACUGGGUGUAAAGCGCAAGCAGGCGGCAAUUUAAGUCUGACGUGAAAUCUCCUGGCUUAACUGGGAGAGGUCGUUGGAAACUGGAUUGCUUGAGGUGGUGAGAGGGGUGUGGAAUUCCCGGUGUAGUGGUGGAAUGCGUAGAUAUCGGGAGGAACACCAGAGGCGAAAGCGACACCCUGGCACUUGCCUGACGCUGAGAUGCGAAAGCGUGGGGAGCAAACGGG
rnacentral:rRNA from 1 species